AGAGGCGUUCUGGGUGGCAGUCCUCCUGCUGUCCUCCUGCUCCUCCUGCUCCCCCUGCUCCCCCUUCCCCCCCUGCUCCUCCUGCUCUUCCUGCUCCUCCUCCUGCUCCCCCUGAUCCUCCUGCUCCUCCUGCUCCUCCCCCUGCUCCUCCUGCUCCUCCUGCUGUCCUCCUGCUCCUCCUGCUCCUCCUCCUGCCCCUGCUCCUCCUGCUCCUCCUGCUCCUCCUCCUCCUCCUGCUCCUUCUGCUCCUCCAGUCCUCCUGCUCCUCCCCCUGCUCCCCCUGCUCCUCCUCCUGCUCCUCCUCCUGCUCCCCCUUCAUCUCCUGAUCCUCCUGCUCCUCCUGCUGUCCCCCUGCUCCUUCUGCUCCUCCAGUCCUCCUGCUCCUCCCCCUGCUCCCCCUGCUCCUCCUCCUCCUGCUCCUCCUGCUCCCCCUGCUCCUCCUGCUCCUCCUCCUGCUCCUCCUGCACCUCCUGCUCCCCCUGCUCCUCCUGCUCCUCCUGCUCCUCCUGCUCCUCCUGCUCCUCCUGCUGUCCCCCUACUGUCCCACUCCUCUUCAGGUUAACGGUGGUCGGGGUGCUGGGGUUGCGAGGGGCUGGUGCGAGGCAGUGGUUUUCCAGUUGCCCACACCCCUCAGUGGAUUGGCCCCGCCGGUCUUCGUGUGUCUCCACCUCGGUCACGCUUUCACACAUCGGGUGCUUUAUGCCACGAUACCACAGGACAUGUUCUAUGCACCCUGCUGUUAUGUAUUGUAGUAAUGAAGAGGCUUGUAAUACUAUUCCAAUAGUGCUUUACUUGAACUCGUACAUAACCCGUACAGCAGCACAUGUAUAUUCAACUUCACUUCUUCACUUAAUCUGCAUACAUUAAUACUGAAUCAUAAUAGCCUGACACCUAGUGGCAGAGAAUAUAACACCUGCCUGGACCCGGGUCCACUGCUAUGAAUGUGCUCCCAGAAUCACUCUUGCCACCAACCCUGGGCAAACGUCGGGAGCGUGAGCUCUUCCUGCUUGCUCUGGUUGAAGGUAGGGUCACCUUGCCGGGCAUACAGACAAAGAUCAGUGGCAUAGGCACCCAAGCUCUCCUUCUCGCUCCGGUGGCGGCCAACCAGUGUAUCUCUGGCGUCAUCUGU
rnacentral:lncRNA from 1 species